rnacentral:rRNA from 1 species
GCGUAAUAGCUCACUGGUCGAGUCGGCCUGCGCGGAAGAUGUAACGGGGCUAAACCAUGCACCGAAGCUGCGGCAGCGAACGUAUCACUUAAAGCGAUUCAGCGGGUUACGAUUGACGGAGCGAAGCGACGUCAAAGCGUAUACAAAGUCGAGUCGGUUUAAGGAUACGUUCGUUGGGUAGGGGAGCGUUCUGUAAGCCUGRGAAGGUGGCCUGUGAGGGUUGCUGGAGGUAUCAGAAGUGCGAAUGCUGACAUAAGUAACGAUAAAGCGGGUGAAAAGCCCGCUCGCCGGAAGACCAAGGGUUCCUGUCCAACGUUAAUCGGGGCAGGGUGAGUCGACCCCUAAGGCGAGGCCGAAAGGCGUAGUCGAUGGGAAACGGGUUAAUAUUCCCGUACUUGGUGUUACUGCGAAGGGGGGACGGAGAAGGCUAUGUUGGCCGGGCGACGGUUGUCCCGGUUUAAGCGUGUAGGCUGGUUUUCCAGGCAAAUCCGGAAAAUCAAGGCUGAGGCGUGAAG